UAUUGCCCAAUGCGCGAAAGCGUGAGGCAGCAACGCCGCGUGCGCGAUGAAGGCCUUCGGGUCGUAAAGCGCUUUUCGGUGGGAUGAGGAAGGACAGUACCACCGGAAUAAGGGACGGCUAACUACGUGCCAGCAGCCGCGGUAAAACGUAGGUCCCGAGCGUUAUCCGGAUUUACUGGGCGUAAAGGGCGUUCAGGCGGUGGGCUAAGUCAGGCAUGAAAUCUCCCGGCUCAACCGGGCGAGGUUGUCUGAGACUGGUUCACUUGAGGGCAGUCGAGGGUGGUGGAAUUCCGGGUGUAGUGGUGAAAUGCGUAGAGAUCCGGAGGAACACCAGUGGCGAAAGCGGCCACCUGGGCUGCACCUGACGCUGACACGCGAAAGCUAGGGGAGCGAACGGG
rnacentral:rRNA from 1 species